CAUGCAGUCGACGGUAACAGGUCUUCGGAUGCUGACGAGUGGCGAACGGGUGAGUAAUACAUCGGAACGUGCCUAGUAGUGGGGGAUAACUACUCGAAAGAGUGGCUAAUACCGCAUGAGAUCUACGGAUGAAAGCAGGGGAUCGCAAGACCUUGUGCUACUAGAGCGGCCGAUGGCAGAUUAGGUAGUUGGUGGGAUAAAAGCUUACCAAGCCGACGAUCUGUAGCUGGUCUGAGAGGACGAUCAGCCACACUGGGACUGAGACACGGCCCAGACUCCUACGGGAGGCAGCAGUGGGGAAUUUUGGACAAUGGGCGCAAGCCUGAUCCAGCAAUGCCGCGUGCAGGAUGAAGGCCUUCGGGUUGUAAACUGCUUUUGUACGGAACGAAAAGCCCUGGGUUAAUACCCUGGGGUCAUGACGGUACCGUAAGAAUAAGCACCGGCUAACUACGUGCCAGCAGCCGCGGUAAUACGUAGGGUGCGAGCGUUAAUCGGAAUUACUGGGCGUAAAGCGUGCGCGGCGGUUUUGUAAGACAGAGGUGAAAUCCCCGGGCUCAACC
rnacentral:rRNA from 1 species